rnacentral:lncRNA from 1 species
AUGCAAAGACACGUCAGUGUAAUUGUGGAUGGCGAGAGCCCUGAAAUACAGCAGGACAGCAGCGGUCUUCAUCACUGCCCCUUCUGCAGAUUCAAAGGGUCAAAAUGUGCUAUCGAAUAUCACAUUGAAUGCCAUGCCUCGGUUAAAUACAGAGUCAAACAUGAAGCAAAUACGGCGAUGGUGGUGCCUUGUUCUUUUGAAGAACUUCCCCACGCCGUCUGCAGAGGAGCUUUCAGGAAGCAGGAAGAGAAGACGGGAGGGAAUAAAGCUACAGACAAAACUGAAGACCAGGAACUGGAACCUGGAAACCUGGAAGAUGAUGUUGUCCUGAAGGACACAAUUAAGGCAGCAGCAUGGUGCCAGUUACAGUCCUUCAAGGACAGCGUUUCUCUCCCAGAGGUCAUUGGGAUGGAAGGUUGGGAGCAGAUUGCAGCAUCAACACAGCGCAAAUCCCAUGACGGCGGGGAUGAAGAAGAAACGUGGAAACCAUUCAAAUUCUCAUUCAGAUUACAUACUGACUAUGAACUGUUCUGUGUGGAGAUGAUGGACAGGAGAAACCUGAAGGUGUUUGCCCUCUUUUGAGUCAAACACCUCUCCCCCUCCCCGUCCCCCUCCCCGUGACGCCUGCGCCACACGACUCCAAUGUAGUCUGAUGAUGCAGCAUAAUGGCGGCGCUGGGCAGCUAUGGCGGCGGUGACGGCGAUGUCGGGCGACAGAGCGUGAAGCGAGAGUGGCGUCCACCUCACUGAGGAAGGCGUCAGUGUGUUCCCCCCCCCCCCCGUUGAGACUUUGUUUGUUCUACUCUUUAUUGAUUUAUCUUUUAUGUUAAUAGUUUACAAUCUAUUUUUUGUAGUUGUUAUAUUUUAAUUGUUUUGUUGAAUAAAAAGACUGUUGUUAGUGCUCCUGUGAUUGGUGUAACUUAAUGUGCU